rnacentral:rRNA from 1 species
GGAUCCAGACUUUGAUUAUGGCUCAGAACGAACGCUGGCGGCAGGCCUAACACAUGCAAGUCGAACGAACCUUUUAGGUGAGUGGCGCACGGGUGCGGAACACGUGGGAAUGUACCCUUGAGUACGGAACAACGUCUGGAAACGGACGCUAAUACCGUAUAAUGACUUCGGUCCAAAGAUUUAUCGCUCAAGGAUCAGCCCGCGUCUGAUUAGUUUGUUGGCGGGGUAACGGCCUACCCAGACUACGAUCAGUAGGGGGUCUGAGAGGAUGAUCCCCCACACUGGAACUGAGACACGGUCCAGACUCCUACGGGAGGCAGCAGUGAGGAAUAUUGCACAAUGGAGGAAACUCUGAUGCAGCCAUGCCGCGUGAGUGAUGAAGGCCUUAGGGUUGUAAAGCUCUUCCAAUCGUGAAGAUAAUGACGGUAGCGAUAGAAGAAGCCCCGGCUAAAUUCGUGCCAGCAGCCGCGGUAAU